UCACUCUUCCAUGAUGAGAAUUUUUCAGCGUGGUCUUUUGCGUCAGAGAGAUAAAGAAGCUCCAAGAUUAACUGAGAGUGGUUUCCAAUUCUUGUUGAUGGAUACAAAUGCUCAGCUUUGGUAUAUUAUCAGAGAGUAUAUCUCCAAUUCAGAGGUAUAUUUGAUGAGAUAAUUAUUGUGUUCUGCUUGGAACUUGUUUGUUAGAGCUAUUGUGUUUUGCUGUU